ensembl:lncRNA novel transcript
ACAGCUUCCAGCAUGUGUUGUGAAACAUUUCUUCUAAUUUCUAAAAUUGAAACAAUUACUAUGAUCUACAAAAUUUGAAGAACAACUAUGAAUCAAUAAUUUACUGCUAUAAUCAACAAAGGAUAAAUUAACUUCAUCUGACACAUGCUGAAUAAUCUACAUAAAUAUGAUUGCAAGUCAUGGCAAGUAUUCGUAAGUGAUUUGAGAAAGUCCAUGCAUGGGAGCAGGACAAAGAGAAAUAAUCUGAUCAUCCCUAAGAGGUUUCAAGACAGGAUAUUUGUUGGCACAUUUGCUGCUUUGGCAUCAACAGAGACAGGAGAUUCCACCACAGCAAGCAGGAAUUGGGGCAGGAAAAUGGUGGGUGCUAACCAGUGGCCAAGGACACUACUUGCAGCACAUUCAUGGAAUAUAUUUGUAGAUUCCGCAAACAAUGAGCGGCGAAUAAUGAGCAAUUGCGUAAAGCUGAGUCCUGGAAGGCUGCCUGUAGGGGGCAGUAUGUGGUCUGGCCUUAAGGACAAACGGAAUUUUCACCGGAGAAGACUGUGGCGGGGGCUUUUCAGGAGGAAUGAAUAGGAAGAGUACAGGAGGCUGUAUAGCAGCAGGUGGCUUUGUUUGGUUGGAAAACACUCCAAGUGAAAAGGCAUUGUGAAGAAUGGAAGAGCUACUGAGAAACCAGCCUAUGGAGUUUGGCUGUCUCUCCUAGUCACAAAUAAGGAGCUGUUACUGGUUUUUGUCAAAAGAACAGGAUGAUCACAUCUGUGCCUUAGGACACUUUAGAUGGGGCAGAACAGGUACAGGGGAUGUGGUGGGGGAAGAAAUGACUCGAUUUCAAACAAAUCAAAUAAA